rnacentral:rRNA from 1 species
UCAGGAAANUCUGGAGUAAAAGGCUAUGGCUCAACCAUAGUGUGCUCUGGAAACUNUCUGACUUGAGUGCAGAAGGGGAGAGUGGAAUUCCAUGUGUAGCGGUGAAAUGCGUAGAUAUAUGGAGGANCACCAGUGGCGAAAGCGGCUCUCUGNUCUGUCACUGACGCUGAGGCUCGAAAGCGUGGGUAGCGAACAGGAUUAGAUACCCUGGUAGUNCACGCCGUAAACGAUGAGUGCUAGGUGUUAGGCCCUUUCCGGGGCUUAGUGCCGGAGCUAACGCAAUAAGCACUCCGCCUGGGGAGUACGACCGCAAGGUUGAAACUCAAAGGAAUUGACGGGGGCCCGCACAAGCGGUGGAGCAUGUGGUUUAAUUCGAAGCAACGCGAAGAACCUUACCAGGUCUUGACAUCCCGAUGCUAUUCUUAGAGAUAGGAAGUUACUUCGGUACAUCGGAGACAGGUGGUGCAUGGUUGUCGUCAGCUCGUGUCGUGAGAUGUUGGGUUAAGUCCCGCAACGAGCGCAACCCUUAUUGUUAGUUGCCAUCAUUAAGUUGGGCACUCUAGCGAGACUGCCGGUAAUAAACCGGAGGAAGGUGGGGAUGACGUCAAAUCAUCAUGCCCCUUAUGACCUGGGCUACACACGUGCUACAAUGGUCGGUACAACGAGUUGCGAGCCGGUGACGGCAAGCUAAUCUCUGAAAGCCGAUCUCAGUUCGGAUUGGAGGCUGCAACUCGCCUCCAUGAAGUCGGAAUCGCUAGUAAUCGCGGAUCAGCACGCCGCGGUGAAUACGUUCCCGGGCCUUGUACACACCG